AAAGGAUAUCUAAUCGAGAGAUUAAAUUAAAGAGAGAUUCCCUACAAUAGUGAGAUACUCUAUAUGCUCUUUUUGAAUAAAACAAAGCUUCAGGAUUUUCCAGGUCCUCCUUAAUGAGAUUGAUAGCUACUCAAACAAAAUUGACUAUUUACAUAUGAAAAAUUAAAUGAAUCUUCACUAUCUAGGCUGUAACACAUAGUUGGAGGGACAACCUAGUAUAUGUCUUUGGGUACAUGUAUCUUGGGACAGAUGCCAUUGUUGUUCAUCUGUCUUUUCAAAGAAGACCAAUAACAUCAUGAUGUGAUUUCUUGACUUGUCCAUGAUUUGAAUUUAAGUGAAGCAGAGUUACACAAAAUCACUAGCCUUAUUUUCUAUUCCAGAGACAUGUUAGGAUAACUGGUAAUGACCAAGGAUGCAAUCGAUGACUUUGGGACAGUGGAUAGCCUUGAUGUCUUUGAUGUCUAACCAAGCGGGAGCCUGGAAUAUGAUAUUCUGGGAGGCAAAGGAGAUAGGAGAUAAUCAAGAAUUAUCUAUCCAGCAAAAGUGAGUAUAAUCUUUCAUGGGAAAUGGAGAGUUAAUUAAAUUGGGAACUUUCAAACAUUCCUAAUGAAAAUACCAGAACUGUAUAGAAAUUUUGACAUUCAAAUAGAAGACUCAAGAGGAGCAGAAAGAAAGUAAAUAGGAAAGAGAAAUCAUAAGAUACUAAACAAAGUUGAAUUGC
rnacentral:lncRNA from 1 species